UACGUAGGGGGCAAGCGUUGUCCGGAAUCAUUGGGCGUAAAGCGCACGUAGGCGGACUCUUAAGUCGGUGGUGAAAUCCUGGAGCUCAACUCCAGAACUGCCUUCGAUACUGGGAGUCUCGAGUCCGGGAGAGGUGAGUGGAACUGCGAGUGUAGAGGUGAAAUUCGUAGAUAUUCGCAAGAACACCAGUGGCGAAGGCGGCUCACUGGCCCGGUACUGACGCUGAGGUGCGAAAGCGUGGGGAGCAAACAGG
rnacentral:rRNA from 1 species